UACGGAGGGGGCUAGCGUUGUUCGGAAUUACUGGGCGUAAAGCGCGCGUAGGCGGUUUCUUAAGUCAGAGGUGAAAGCCCGGAGCUCAACUCCGGAAUAGCCUUUGAGACUGGGAGACUUGAAUCCAGGAGAGGUGAGUGGAAUUCCGAGUGUAGAGGUGAAAUUCGUAGAUAUUCGGAGGAACACCAGUGGCGAAGGCGGCUCACUGGCUCGACACUGACGCUGAGGUGCGAAAGCGUGGGGAGCAAACAGG
rnacentral:rRNA from 1 species